CAGGGAUUGCCCUAGUAACGGCGAGUGAAGCGGCAACAGCUCAAAUUUGAAAUCUGGCCUCCUCCGGGGGUCCGAGUUGUAAUUUGCAGAGGGUGCUUUGGCUUUGGCGGCGGUCUAAGUUCCUUGGAACAGGACAUCGCAGAGGGUGAGAAUCCCGUACGUGGGCGCCUGCCACUGCCGUGUAAAGCCCCUUCGACGAGUCGAGUUGUUUGGGAAUGCAGCUCUAAAUGGGAGGUAAAUUUCUUCUAAAGCUAAAUACCGGCCAGAGACCGAUAGCGCACAAGUAGAGUGAUCGAAAGAUGAAAAGUACUUUGGAAAGAGAGUAAAAUAGCACGUGAAAUUGUUGUAGAGGAAGCGCUUGCAGCCAGACUUCCCCGUAGUCGCUCACCCGGGCUCCUGCCCGGGGCACUCUUCUGCGGGGAGGCCAGCAUCAGUUUGGGCGGUCGGAUAAAGGCCUCUGUCACGUAUCUCCCUCCGGGGAGACCUUAUAGGGGAGGCGCAAUGCGACCAGCCCGGACUGAGGUCCGCGCAUCUGCCAGGAUGCUGGCGUAAUGGCUGUAAGCGGCCCGUCUUGAAACACGGACCAAGGAGUCUAACAUCUAUGCGAGUGUUUGGGUGUCAAGCCCGGGCGCGCAAUGAAAGUGAACGGAGGUGGGAACCCUCGGGUGCACCAUCGACCGAUCCUGAUGUCUUCGGAUGGAUUUGAGUAAGAGCAUAGCUGUUGGGACCCGAAAGAUGGUGAACUAUGCUUGAAUAGGGUGAAGCCAGAGGAAACUCUGGUGGAGGCUCGCAGCGGUUCUGACGUGCAAAUCGAUCGUCAAAUUUGGGCAUAGGGGCGAAAGACUAAUCGAAC
rnacentral:rRNA from 1 species